UUCCGGAGCUAACGCGUUAAGUCGACCGCCUGGGGAGUACGGCCGCAAGGUUAAAACUCAAAUGAAUUGACGGGGGCCCGCACAAGCGGUGGAGCAUGUGGUUUAAUUCGAUGCAACGCGAAGAACCUUACCUGGUCUUGACAUCCACAGAACUUUCCAGAGAUGGAUUGGUGCCUUCGGGAACUGUGAGACAGGUGCUGCAUGGCUGUCGUCAGCUCGUGUUGUGAAAUGUUGGGUUAAGUCCCGCAACGAGCGCAACCCUUAUCCUUUGUUGCCAGCGGUCCGGCCGGGAACUCAAAGGAGACUGCCAGUGAUAAACUGGAGGAAGGUGGGGAUGACGUCAAGUCAUCAUGGCCCUUACGACCAGGGCUACACACGUGCUACAAUGGCGCAUACAAAGAGAAGCGACCUCGCGAGAGCAAGCGGACCUCAUAAAGUGCGUCGUAGUCCGGAUUGGAGUCUGCAACUCGACUCCAUGAAGUCGGAAUCGCUAGUAAUCGUGGAUCAGAAUGCCACGGUGAAUACGUUCCCGGGCCUUGUACACACC
rnacentral:rRNA from 1 species